GAAUUAUUGCUUUGGAAGAAAACCUCACAUCUCCACAAGACCUUGCUUCCCAAAUAAGACAUGUCAGAAGAUGCUGAUAAUCCUCACUUCUGCAUUACAAAUCGCUCAUAGGUGCAUCUGCAGGAUCUUACUUGGAUCCAGAGUGCUAGCUGCAAAAGCUUCUGGGAAUUGUACACUUAACUCUGAAGUUUUAUCUUUAAUAUAGGAAGUGCCGCGUAUGAUGCUGUCCUUGACAGAAAUGUGGCCAUUAAGAAGCUCAGCAGACCCUUUCAGAACCAAACACAUGCCAAGAGAGCGUACCGGGAGCUGGUCCUCAUGAAGUGUGUGAACCAUAAAAACGUGAGUUUUGUUAUUUUUAAACUUCUGGCAGUGGGAGUUUGUAAGAUUGGAAAAAGAAAAUGUGUCUGUACUUGAGUAAGAAAGGCUUUCUUUGCUUUGCAAUUCCUGCCUCUUAAGAUUGUUUAUCCUGCCAAUAUGCUACAUUCGAUUUCAUUGUCCUCAUGGUAGCUUUCUGCUUAAAAAUCACCUAAAAACCAUAUGAUGUGGAAGUGAUGAAUUUUAUAAAUAUUUCCCUAGUUAGAAAAUUUACCAUAUUUGGUUAUCUUGCUCCAAAUUGAGAGCUUCAAGAAAGAAACAAGACAAGCAAAGCCAAAAGCCAGAAAAAAAAAACCUACAAAGCACCAUGCUACAUUUCUUUAUAAUUUAGAUUUAAUUUAGAUUUAUAAUUUAGAUUUAAUUGCCAACGGUUGAGUUUU
rnacentral:lncRNA from 1 species